rnacentral:rRNA from 1 species
GCAAGUCGAGGGGUAACAGGGGAGCUUGCUUCCGCUGACGACCGGCGCACGGGUGCGUAACGCGUAUGCAACCUACCUUAUACAGGGGGAUAGCCCGAAGAAAUUCGGAUUAAUACCCCAUGGUAUUACAGAAUCGCAUGAUGAAGUAAUUAAAGAUUUAUCGGUAUAAGAUGGGCAUGCGUCUGAUUAGAUAGUUGGUGAGGUAACGGCUCACCAAGUCGAUGAUCAGUAGGGGUUCUGAGAGGAAGAUC